GGGCAUGAACUUAGACUUUUUACUCUGUGAACCUUUCUGUGAAGUUUGAAUACUUUACAACAAGCAUAUAUUCCAGGUAUUAAGUUUGUAAAAAUGUAAAGCAAGUCAGUCUCAAAGGUCUGCUAUUCCAUGGUUAAUAUUCAGUGUUCAAAUCCUGUAUAAUCACACACAAAACAGGGGUCUUAAAUGGGCUAGUGCUGGGGCUGCGGGGCGGGGCAGGAUUUGAGCCUGAGGAGAGUGGUAGGAAAUAAGCUUACGUUGAAAUGGUUAGGAGCCUACUCCAGACCAACUCUCCCCCUCCAACCCCCACAAAACAGAGAGAGGAAUUGUCCUAAGUUCUUCUUGGGAGAGACUGCUUUCCAACCUCAGAGAUUUCAAAGGGACAGCGGGCCUCUCCACCUUUAGAAGUCAACCGGGAAUGCUCAUGGGUUUGCUGCAGGCCCAUUGCUGAAGCCUAGUGAAGAGAGAGACAGAGAGAGAGAGAGCAGAGAAAUCCAGUAAAUGAAGCCAGAAAGUUAGUUUGUGUUUUUUCAUUAUAGUGAGCAUACUGUGAUGAACCCAUUGGUAUUCUGAGAGGGUUUUGUUUUUGUUUACCUGACUUGAUUAUAAGGAGUUUUAAUGGUUCUGCCCUACUUCCCCAUUUCGUGUUCAUAGGACAUCCAUCAGUCGGCUUCAUGGUCACCUGGGCUGUUCUUCACAUGCAAAUCCCUGGGUCCUACCCCGAAAUUAUUCUCUCAGAAUUUCAGGAUUUGUCUGCUAUUGAAGGAAAGCAUAGCCAACUAAUACAAUUCUGGCUUACUUUGAAGAAUAUCUGAGCGCCAUAGGACAAAAUUCACCUAUCGAUCAUCCUAUUCUCCAUCCUAUCAAGAGUAGUCCAUUUAUUUUGUUCAACCAAAGGCAUUCUUUUUCCUCCCUGCCCCCUAGCCCCUCAACGUUCCCAAAUAGAUGCCCCUGUUAGGCAUUCCCCUAGACCUGGGCAGUCGGUGUCCUGCCUGCACCUCUCGCUCUUUAGAGGCCGUGGUUCUGGCCCUCCUCUGGUUGCCUGCCUCUUUGCUCAGAGCCAGCCCUUUCUCUUAUCAGGACUUCUCUUCCCAGGGUCCAUUCUUCAGAGGGAAGGGUGGGCCGCAAUAUGCACCCUAGGCCCGAAGGGUGGUCAAGGGGCUGCUGCUGGGGCGACAAAGAGCUCGGAUAUACUGGACAGUGUGUGCUGAAGGCCCCUUGAGGUGCAGGAUGGAGUCUGGGCUUGGAAGAAAAGUGGAAGGAGAGUUCUCCAAUUGUACUUCUGGCCCGGGGUUGUAAAUGGUAGGGGAGGCCCAAGACACAGCUUCACUUUCGAAAUGUUAAUGAAUAUUCUGUUUCUGAUGAAUGUAUUCAGUGCCUGUAGAACAAGAGAAUUCAGAGAGGCGUAGGGUUCAUUUGGGACUUUUUAGGCUAAGAGUGCAUUAAACCAGCUCCCCAGCCCUGGGGCCAUAGGACUGUCGGGCAUGAAUCUAAAACUACUCCAUAUGCUAUAUCUGCGGCGUUGGAGUUAGUGGGGUGUGGGACUGCAGGGUUUCAGGUGCUCACAUCAGGGCUACAGAAUCAUCCUCCUUUCUGUUAACCGCGCACAGGGAGUCGAGUGCUCCUUUGUGCCAUCACCUCUUCUCGAAGCUCCAGGCGCAGAGGGCAAACGCUGACGCCCUUUCCCGCCUUCUCUCCGUCUGCGAGUUCCGGAGGGCAGUGCACUGUGCAGCCUCCGUACUUCCCGACACGUUCCGCCUGCAAACCACUUAGGAGCUUCUGCCGGCAAUUUCUCGGAUGCAGCGCGGAGCCCAGCCUCCCGCACUGACUCAGGCCCGGCACCACCCCGCCUGCUGAGGGCGUCGUCGCGGGCGCCACCGACGGCGCCAGCCUGCGUUCCUAAAGGCUCCAGGACAGGUGUGGGGCUGAAAUCCCGCUCCUCCAGCAUCUUCCCCUCCCUACCAAAAGAAGGCUGCUUUAAAUAUUCCCGGCCUGGAGCAGCAGCAGCUAAGGACCUGGAAAGAGGCCCGAAAAGGCCAGGGCAGGGCGAACGAACGUGCUGUCCCUAUUUACCGGCCACACGCUCUGACUGCGGGCUGACCCUGAUCGCACACUUCGAGCCUGUUCACUCGCUGGGCGGACCCUCCCUCCACGCUCCGCGCCCAGGCAGGCGAGGUCACCCACUCGAAGUCACCACGUUUGAGUAGCCCUGGUUGGUGGGGCAGCGCCCCCUUGGCCAACGCCCCGCCCUCCUCUCCAUCUUCCGACGCUGGGCUCUCGCCCUUCGGCGUCCGAGAGCCCCUAUUGCUGCCCAGCUGGCCCCAAAAGCGUCCGAAAGUCCCCUCUUGGCUUAUUUCAGAGAUGCCACGCAAUAAAGAAAAGGCGGCUACUUUGCAUUCCGCAGCUGCUGGGACGCCCGGGCUGCGAGCGCGGCUCCUGGAUUCCAGCCUCCCGCCCUUCCCAGGCGCUGGAAUGGACACGGACGCCCACAGUGGCGGGCCAGGUAGUGCCGGAGUCGGGGGCCCAGGCCGCGGCGCCCCGCGCCUCAUCACUUACCUUGCCUUUAGCUAUCAAUUCCAUGAUGUAGCCAAAUUCACUCAUCUCCCCAGACUCCGACAUGUUUACACCCCUUCACAAACUCUGGAGGACCGACGCGGGUGUAUCGAAUUUGUCCUUUCUUUUCUCUUUUUCUGUUUUUAGUCUGAGUUUUGCCGAGCUCCCCGCCCAUAAGCUGUUAACCAGGAAAAGAGGGGAAGCGCCGGGGAAAGCAAGAAGCGGGCUUGGGUGAAAUGAAGGCCAUCGAGGGCUCCCGGGCAGCCUCGCCCGGCUUGCUAGGAUCCGGGUGCAGCGGUCGGGGCUGCGCGAUCUAACGGAACAAACGAGGGCGGCGGCGGCGGCAGCAGAG
rnacentral:lncRNA from 10 species